CAGCUACAGUAUCAAAUUUUAAUUGUAUAUAUGUAUAAAUAUAGUUAUAGACCAUAAAUAUCCAAGUCAAAACAUUCUCCUCUAGGCAGAUGCUUCCCUCUCCCCCUCAAAAAAAGUCUUUGCAACUAAAUAAACUAACAGCUUUAAGUAAUACUGAAGAAAAAACAUGCUGAGGUAAUUUUUCAUCUAAAGUGACUACAGCCUAUAUUAAAACAUUCUUCUAGUAAGAGUUCAAGUAGUUAUGAAACCCUUGCCUCAAAAUUCCAAAAUGCAACUUUAUUAUCAAAUGAAAGAAAAAAAUAGUUUAAUGAUAAAUAAGUAAAAUAAAUAAGAUUAUUCCUGCUGAAAUUCAAUCUUGACAGUAUUAUUUCUUUUUUUAUAUAUUUGUGGAGUUUUGUUGAUAGCCUGGCCUUUUAAUAAUUGAAAACAGCAAUUCAUGAAGCCCGUCUCAGAAUAUACCUAUUACUCUAACACAUCAGCAGUUAUAUUAGAAUAUUCAUCUUACCAAGUUUUAAUUACAGCAG
rnacentral:lncRNA from 1 species